rnacentral:rRNA from 2 species
UGCUACCUGGUUGAUCCUGCC